rnacentral:rRNA from 1 species
CCUACGGGAGGCAGCAGUGGGGAAUAUUGGGCAAUGGGCGCAAGCCUGACCCAGCAACGCCGCGUGAAGGAAGAAGGCUUUCGGGUUGUAAACUUCUUUUGUCAGGGACGAAGCAAGUGACGGUACCUGACGAAUAAGCCACGGCUAACUACGUGCCAGCAGCCGCGGUAAUACGUAGGGGGCAAGCGUUGUCCGGAUUGACUGGGUGUAAAGGGCGUGUAGCCGGGCUGACAAGUCAGAUGUGAAAUUCCGGGGCUCAACCCCGGACCUGCAUUUGAAACUGUUGGUCUUGAGUAUCGGAGAGGCAGGCAGAAUUCCUAGUGUAGCGGUGAAAUGCGUAGAUAUUAGGAGGAACACCAGUGGCGAAGGCGGCCUGCUGGACGACAACUGACGGUGAGGCGCGAAAGCGUGGGGAGCAAACAGGAUUAGAUACCCUAGUAGUC